UCCUAAUGCCCACACUAAUAUCUAGCAAUGCUGCUAGAAAUUGCUACUGUCCUUGUACGAUUGCCAUUCAGAUAAGGAACAUGUUUUUUUCAUUUGAUGCAUGUUUCAUCACUUGUUAGUCACCCUCCUUUCCACCUUUUUUGUGCAAACAGAGAUAUUCAUUUCACGCUUGAUCUUAGUUGAACUGCACAAAUGAUAUCCAAAUUAUAGUUGAACAUUCCAGUAGCUUCACGACCAACCUUGAUGUUGCUCAAUUUUAUUGCAACUAAUGAAGAAGAUAGGGACUAAAAGAGCCAGCUUCAGCAUCCCAGUCUAAGCACUCCCGGCCUUCAUCCUUGCGACGCACGGUACACCUCGUUUGCCACCUGCUCGACCCUAGUGUCACUGAUAAAAUGAAGUAAUAAUACAGUUAAAAUAGAGCGAGUGUCCUCUCUAUCAUUUCAUUUCCAAUGUAGAUAAAGAAAGUGCUUCUCUUUGUUAAUGUAUGUUUCAUCAACUAGUCCCAUUGUUAAUGUUUAAGCGUUUCUGCAAACUGGGGUGCUUAAUUUUAGUCGAUCUGCACAAAAAUAGAGAUUUGAAUGUCUCAAGGCCCCUCCUUGUACUACCACUGUACACUGAUGUUCAUCACUGGCAGAAGAUGUAUCAGGGAGACUUGGGACGAUUUCCAGUAUGAGGCGUGUCAUACCGUAUGAGACGUCGCAGGGCCCAUAUCGCCCUCGCAGCAUGCCAUACUAUGAUACUAUCGCAAUAUUUUCUUCUAUUUAUUUUGCGUGUUUCAUCAACUAGUGCCACUAUAAUGUAAUCACGCUUUUUCAUUAUCUGUGCAAACAGGGUUAUUCAGCUGCAUUUUGGUGGAACUGCACAAAUGUACAGAUGGAACCGGCAUAUAUGCAGAGUGCGAGGUGUGCCAAGUAAAAAUUACCAACACCAACCAUGCUCCAUGCACGCAUUGGCAUCCACCACCACCAGUGGGAUGUGUGGCACUCUCUGUGGACGGAUUUUCUCGGCAGAAAAUCCUCUAACCAAAUACUAGUAGCUUAUAUUGGCAGUUUUCUAGGGAGUACUCUUUUCUGAAAGAAGCACCAAUCUAUUUUUCUUUAUUUGUACACAGUGUCACAACUUUGACCCAAAGGUCCAGAGCUAUUUAAGGGUGAUUGGCGUAGUACUCGGAGACUGAUUGUAAGCAUGAUUUUCAUUAGCUGUCACACUGAUUGAAGCAUGAGCAGGUGGAAGAUUAGGUUAGUGCGAAGCUUACCUUAAACCCUACCGCCGCCGUUGAAACGAGGCGAGCGUCGAGGGAACCGUGGAGAAUGGCGGGGAAGCGACGUCGUGCCAUCCGGCCUCCUCAGGAACGGCACACCGUACUCGAUCGUUCAUUAUCCUCUGGGUGCUCGACCUUUGACCUGUACGCCCACCACCUCCGUCUGACUUUCGCCUCGGGCGGAUCUGUCUGCUCCAUUGGCCAGAGGAGAUACUCGAUGAACUCGAAGGACUGCGGCGUGACUGCCGCCGAGGAGUACAUGUACAUCGCCGCCCUCAUCGCCGUCGUCUCGCUCUUUCGCAUACAUUGCCACAUGGCCCUCACCGUCCUUGAAAUCUCCCACUCAUUGUCAAACCAAGUAAGGAUCGCCUUCAACCUGGCUAACUUUGUCUGGUCACCGCCGGGGAUCUUCCUGAUUCGCUGCUGCAUCCUCUCCAUAAAUGUCCUUCUGAGUGGUCCGGUGCUAGCUUUGGAAGAUGGGAGGAGAGACGGUGGUCUUGCAAUAGAGAAGAGGGAGAGGCGAGACGGUGGUUUUGGAAAGGAAAUGAUGGAGAGGAGAGGAGGUGGUUUUGCAAUGGAGAACAGGGAGAGGCGACACGGUGGUUUUGGAAUGGAGAUGAUGGAGAGCAGAGGAGGUGGUUUUGCAAUGCAGAAGAGGGAGAGGCGACACGGUGGUUUUUGAAUGGAGAUGAUGGAGAGGAGAGGAGGUGGUUUUGCAAUGGAGAAGAGGGAGAGGAGCGUGCGGCAGCGAUUUAGGAUUGGACGAGAGGGCCGGCGUGCUGUGACUGGACCAAAAUCAAAAUCAAUUUACCCUUCAAUUAAGAAAGCGACCCCACAUUAACUAGUCUCCCUUUUAUUCUGGGUCAUAAUUGACCAUGAUUUUCACAAAUAAAAUAUAUGUUAUACGUUGCAAAAAUAAUAUAAUUUGAAAGUACAUUCAGAUACGAACCAAACGAUACAAUUUUUGGUGACAUGCAUUCACAUUUUGCUUGUCAAAUACAGUACAUGGUCAAACUUUGACCCAAAAUACGCAAAAAAAAAAUACUUCCAAGACCAGCGCCGCUCUUCCGCUCUUCUCCUCUUAAACCACCGCCGCUCCUCUCCUGUUCCAAUCUAAAUCCAGCGCCACUCCUCUCCUCUUCCAUUCAAAACCACCGCCCCUCCUCUCCUGUUCCAAUCCAAAACCAGCGUCGCUCCUCUCCCGUUCUAAUCCAAAACCAGCGCUGCUCCUCUCCUCUUCCAUUCAAAAACCACCGCCGGCGAGUGAAGGUGCUGUGGAGAAGUAGAUCGAUGGAGGAGUACAACUGAUACGUCAGGAUUGCAGACGGCGACCCUGUGAAGCUAGCUAGGAUGUUGGAGAUACAGUCUUGGUUUGACAACAAGGACCAACUAGCGGCGACGGCGACAUCCAUGGCCAAAUAUCUGCAACAGAGCGAAAAGGUGGCGAUACUACCGGAGGGAGUCGCGCGGGAGUACAUAGAGCUGCUCCUCUGGGCCAUGGAGCAAACACAUUCACCAAAUCCGAUCGUGAGGGAGCGGUGGUGGGAGUAUCGAUCCCAGAUGGAGCAUCCACCAGAGAUUGAAGGAUCAAGCAUCUACAGGGUGUCGUUUGUGAGCAUGUCAUGCCAGAGCGAGCCGGUGGAGUCUUCGUUGACCGAACCCAACUGCAAGAGGAGAAAAACAGUUGGUCCGACGACGCUUCCCCGCCAUCCUCUCCCUCGCCGUUCACAUCGUAUCACGGGGCGGCUGUGUGCCACUGAGGAAUAGGAGGGACUGCCCCCCCCCCAGCCCAAUAGUCGGGCAGGUUGUGAAUCGUCAGGAGGAGCUUAGGGUUGUUAGUAUUUGCAGGUUGUGAAUUGUGUUUUGUGUUGUGUAUUUUGAGAGUACUUUCAGAUAUAAAUGUCUUUUGAAUUUCAUUUUUGCAGUAUUGAGCAUAUGAAGUAUUUUAUGAAUUCUAGAGAUCUACUUUUAGCACUCAAAAAUGUAGUUUCAUAGGAGUAUAAAAGUGCAGACAAUGUGAUUCUCAGAGAAGAAACUGCAAGUUUCAGUUUCAGAUAAGAAACUCCAAGUUCAGUUUCAGAUAAGAAACUGCAACUUUCAGAGGCAGAGCAUUUAUAUUAACACGGCCUUUUCAAAUAGUGUUAACAUCAUGUUGGAAGUUUUAUUCAUGGUCGAAACUAGAACUACCAGCCAGUUAACAUCAUGCUGAUCAACAUUCAUGCAUAGCACAUCUUCAUAUGAUGCACAGUCAAAAAGAUAUGCUAUUUUCAAAAUGCCCACAAUGUCAAGUGUGCGAAAAACAAAGAAAACGAGGGACGAAGUUUUGCCUAGUGUUGGACGUGGUGUGCGUAGAUGACAAUUGGGAUCCACAUGUCAAUAAAGGCAGAGGCAACAAUUUUGGAGAUAUUUUCUCUGCACAGGUGGAAUCGAACCCGGGCGGAACAGCUGUCGGGUAGUGUCACUCGGCCACUAGGCUAGUUCAGUUGUUUCGUUACUAAUAAGGCACUUCCUCAGGUGGUCGGAUCUCCUCCUGCACCUUUGUGCGCUCGCCGCGAUGCCGAUGUCUGUCGUUGUGAACAUGCUGAACAAACGAGAGGAAUCUGGAGAGGACUAUACGUGGAGAGGCAGACAGUCGGGACCCACCAGGUCUAUGGCCGUACGCAAGCAAGUGCCUCACCGAAAAGAUACUUCCUCCUAAUGCUAUACUGACGUGGGGGCCCACGGGCUUGUCAACAUAGUUACAUUUUUUAGGUGCUUCAACGUAGUUACUAUAGGAGAUAAAUUCACAACGAAGCCGGGGAGCUGGCAGGUAUCAUUUAUUAUUACUAGGGCAGCAAGUAUCAGCUGGGUUUUGGGCUGCCCCGUCUAGGCUUUCUUUUUUAACAUGCGUAGCCCACGACCUCGGAUGGGAGGUCCAUAGGCCUGUUUGUAUUUUCUUGAGGGCCGUCAUGUAUCGACCGGCCUAUGGACCUCCCAUCCGAGGUUUUAUUUUUCCUGAAACAUCGGCAGCCCAAUUUAUGUUUUUUUUGAAGAAAACGCAGAAGUCUCUUCUAUUUUCCUAUAUAAGAAUAGGAACGCCUGGUCCAACUUAUGUUUCCCUUCUAACUAUAUUAUAUAUAUUUAAAUUAUUUUAUAUGUUAUUAUAUAUUAUUGUUAUUGUCAUCAUAUAUUUAACAGAUACUUACAUAUGUAAGAAAACAAUAACCACAUCUUAUUAACUUAUAAAAAUAAUUUCUUAACAAUAAAUCCUGGAUUUUUUUGGCAACGAAAAUCCUGAUGAUUAUGUACAAAAGCUUGGUAAGAUUUAAGGACCAAUGUAAUAAUAAAUCACUUAUUAUUUAAAUAUACAUAUAUAACAAAAUGCUCAGCCCCUGUUUAUUUUUUGAUAACAUUGCUGCGCCCACCCUAACAUUAUAAUUAGAAUCAGCCCAGCAAAAUCGUGUAUUUCGAGAAAGUGAAAAUGGCCUGUAAUUUUUUAGGAAAAACAUAAAUGGGUCGCAUGGACGCUACAUUAUUUGUUCACCUAGCCCAGCUAAUGGACUGUAAUUCAAAAAAAAAGAGAUCAAAUUGACUAUAAAUUCUAUCCCGCAAAAAAAAGACUGUAAAUUCUGAAAAAAUGGGUUGAAUACGUGCCACAUUUUUGGAUGCUGAAACGUGGGCCAAUAGGUCGAAGCCAAUGCAAGUCGUUGUCAACUUAGUCAACAAAUGAUUCUGACAUCGUUAGCCAUUGGAUUUACAUCUAACGACCGGCAUCCAUCUUCAAUCUCUCGUCUUCUUCCUCCAACGCCGCCGGGACCACCUGCUCCCGCCUCCUGCUGCUAGCAGCUCUGCUUAGCAUGCUUCGCUGUGAAGUGCUACUCCACCGUUGGCCAGGCCAUCCCUCCACCCCUCCACACCUCCUGUUCUUCACCACCGACUGCCGAACCAAACCGCACCAGAACCAGUUUACCCUCGUACACCUCUCCUUCUGCGACUCUACUCCCGCAUCUUCCCAUCUCCGGCUCGUUGCUGUCCGGGGCCUCGCCGUCGUCCACCACCUUGGAUGCGCUCGGCGCGGAGUGGUCAACGUGGUCAAUGAAUGACACCAUCGGAAGUAGACUGUGCGUGGAAAGGCUGACAGCUGGGUCCACGGCCGCACGCAUGGAAACGCCUCCUUAUUACGCCCAAAAUAAUGAUUCCUCCACCUGACAGCUGGGACCCACCGGAAGGGCCUUUGUAUUUCCAGAAAAAAACGUUCCGACUGGUGACAGGUCGGACCCACCAGCUAUAUCUUCGCACGCAAGGAAGUGCCUCCUUAUUACGCACAAAAAAAUGAAUACCCCAGCUAGCUGGGACCCACAAUAGUGGGAGGCUGACUUGUGGGCCAACUAAGUUGACGGGGACGGAGGGCUUUGUCAACUUAGUCAAUAUGAACGAUUCUAGCUCCAGUGACCGUAUGAUGUCCAUCCAAUGUCCGCAGUGCUUCUUCAACCUCUUAUCUUGUUGCUCCAGCCGCCCAAACCAGCACCGGUCGUGCCUCGUGCUCCUGCCUCCCGUGGCCGGCUGCGAUGCCGCGGAGGCCUCACUGCCCCCUACUACUCCCACCGCUGGCCAGGCCAUCCCUCUACUCACCCACACCCCCUGUAAUUCUGCAGCGACGGCAGCCUCACACCGCAGCGAACCAGUACACCCUCAUACUCCUCUACGUGUGGGCAUCCACUGCCGCGUCUUCCCGGGCUCCGCGUCGUCCCCUUCCUGGGCCUCGCCGUCGUCCACCGUCCUGGUGCUCUCGGUGCGGCGUGGUCAACGUGGUAAAGGAACGGCUUCCAUCAGACGUGGACUGUACGUGGAGAGGCUCACAGCUGGGUCCACGGCCGCAGCAAGGAAGUGCCUCCUUAUUAUGCGGAAAAUGAUGAUUCCUCCAUCUGACAGCAGGGACCCAUCGGACGGGCAACCGUAUUUCGCAAAAAACGUUUUCCCCUGACUGCUGGGACCUACCAGCGACAUCUUUGAACGCAAGAAAGUGCGUCCGGGCAAAAAAACGAUUCGCCCCUGACUUCUAGGACCCACCAGCUACAUCUUCGCACGCAAGGAAGUGCCUGACAGUCGGGACCCACCUGGUCGAAGCAUACGUAGCGUUGUCAUUCUAGUCGCGAACGUGUACGUACAUACUGGUCCAUGUAGAGGUGUGCACGUGUCAUAGUAGAGGCGCGCACGUAGCAUGUACACGUACGUACAGCGGCCAGUGUGCAAGAAAGAAAAUACGGCCACGUACGUACAUACGGGCAGGGUCUCAAACGCCUACUCGCGCAUACGUACGGCCAAGGCUCGUGUACAUGACUGGGUCGGAACGGAGAAACAACGUCGUUGUCGUGUUCAUGGGGAGCCUACCGGCUGGGUCGAAACGGAAUGCGUCGUCGUGUUCAUCAGGAGGGCUUGAACGGAACAACCGAUGGAAACGAGGCCUGGCGUACCGCGGAACGGAGGAAACGGCCUUGUGUUCGACCGGCCACGGUCGAAACGGGAUCCUGUUCAUCGGGAGGGGUAUGGCGUAUCGCAAAACGGAGGAAACGGACCUCCUACGGUCGAAACAGGGGUCCUCUUCAUCGAGAGGGGUGUGGCGUACCGCAAAACGGAGGAAACGAACUUGUGUUGGAGCGCUAUGGUCAAAACGGGGGUCCUGUUCAUCGGGAGGGGUGUGGCGUACCGCAAAACGCGGCUCUACGGGAUACUGUUCAUCUCCACCGUCGACCCCCUCCAGCCUCCACGGGCUACUGUUCAUCCACCGUCGACCUCCUCCAGCCUCAUCCUGCAACUGUUCAUCCACGGGCUCCUGUUCAUCCAGCCUCCACCGCGCACUACUCCACCGGAUACUGUUCAACCAGCCCUCUCCACGGGCUCCUGUUCAACCACCCCUCCAUGGGCUACUGUUCUUCCAGCCCUCCACCGUCUACUGUUCAUCCAGCCCUCCACGGGGUGGUCCUGUUCAUACAGCCCUCCACGGGGUCCUGUUCAUCCAGCCCCAACCGGCUCGAUCGAUCGGGGUCCUGUUCAUCCAGAGGUAACACCACGGUGUCCUGUUCAUCCACCCCCACUGGGAACUGUUCAUCCAAACCCCCCCAGCAACGCUCACUGUUCAUCCAGAGGCAGCAUCGAUCGGCUUCAGUUAGCAACAGUAGCGAAGGAAUCGCUCGAUCGGGUUCGGUUAACAGCCAUCGAUCGAUCGCUCGGGUUCAGUAACGCGUAGCCUGCAGUGCAAUCACUCGGGUUUAGUUAGAGCCCAACGCCUCGCACCCACGCACGUGCGUGUACGAGAGAAACGCGCAUCGCUCGGCCCCGACCACCCACCGUAACCGGGAACACCCCGAUAUUUUCCUCGCCCUCGCUUCUACCACAGUUUUUUCCGUCAUGGACGGCCUAAAGAAUGUCAUGCAGCUGCGUCUCCGGCUCGCCCAGGACGAAAAGCCCAUUUUCUGUCAUGAUUUUUUGUCAUAGAAGUAGGAGCCCACCACAUCUAUGAUGAUACCGGGUUUUGUCACAGUUAUCAUCGUAGAAGUGUCAUAAGUACGACAGAAAUAAAUUUCGUUCGGACCAAAAUGUCAUGGAUGUGUCUUUUUUUGUAGUGUUCUCCUUCUUCGUCGAUCUUGGGAUAGGUUCCUGGUCGGUAGCCUGGGUUAGCAGGGUGGAUGUCGUUUUAGUUUCUGUUUGUGUUUCAUCCGUAGUCGGCUGUUGUUCUCAUGUAUGAUGUUUGAUGUAUUCAUGUGGCAUUUCUAUGUCUUGUAUGUAUCCCCAACUAUUAUGUAAUGGUACGAUGUAAUGAUAUCCACCUUGCAAAAGCGUGUCAAUAUGCUGUUCUAUCCUUGGCGGGACCUUUGAGUUCCUUUAGGAUAGAGUCGCAUAUUGGGCGUAAUAGAUAGACCUUGACUAAACCACUGGUCUUGUAUUCACAGAAGUGGAUCUACAAGGUGGAGCAAAUGCUCUGCCCGGGCGCCGCUACCUGAGGGGGAGAGGACACUGCUGCUCAUGGCCCUCCUAGUUGAGGAGCCGCAUGUAGUGAUACCCAAGGGGUUAAAACCCCAGAAGGGCAAAGCGGGCCUUCAAACGCGGGGGACCUCGGUCACCCGAUCCGAGGAGACCCACGCCUCCUCCGCCCAUGAAGACGAUGUGGAGAAGGACAAGGGGAAGAGAACCCUUCCCUAAAGGGGAAGAGGGUGGCAUCAAAGGACACUAAGGCCGAAGCACGGGCGAAGGGACAGAAGAGAGCGAGCAAGGCCCCUGCCGAGCACGCCAGCAGGCCCAAUCCGCCAGAGAAGAUCACCUUCUCUGACGAGUCGGAUGACGACCUCUGAUACGUCUCCAACGUAUCUACUUUUUCUCACGCUUUUCCUCAUGUUUUGGACUCUAAUUUGCAUGAUUUGAAUGAAACUAACCCCGGACUGACGUUGUUUUCAGCAGAACUACCAUGGUGUUGUUUUUGUGCAGAAAUAAAAGUUCUCGGAAUGGAACGAAACUUUGCGAGGAUUUUUUAUGGAAUAUAUAAGGAUUUUUGGAGCCAACAACCCCCAGAGAGGGGCCCCUGGUUGGGCACAACCCACCAGGGCGCGCCCCCCUCUCCUAGCGCACCCAGGUGGGUUGUAUCCACCUGGUGGCCCCGCUGACGACCCCCUGAUACUAUAAAUUCACAUAUUUCCAGAAAAAAUCAGGGAUAAAGAAUUAUCAUGAUCCACGAGACGGAGCCGCCUCCAAGCCCUGUUCUUCCUCGGGAGGGCAGAUCUGGAGGCCGUUUGGGGCUCCAGAGAGGGGGAUCUUCGUUCUUUGUCAUCACCAACCCAUCUCCAUCGCCAAUUCUAUGAUGCUCCCCACCGGGAGUGAGUAAUUACUUCGUAGGCUCGCUGCUCGGUGAGGAGUUGGAUGAGAUUCAUCAUGUAAUCGAGUUAGUUUUGUUAGGGCUUGAUCCCUAGCAUCCACUAUGUUCUUAGAUUGAUGUUGCUAUGACUUUUGCAAUGCUUAAUGCUUGUCACUUUGGGCCCGGGUGCCAUGAAUUCAUAAACGGUUCAGAUCUGAGUUGUUUCAGGAGUUUAUGAACUCAUAUCUGAACCGUUUAUGAAUUCAUCAUUAUAUCCAUGUUUUAGAUCCGAUCUUGCAAGUUAUAGUUACCUACUGCGGUUAUGAUCCGGCAACCCCGGAAUGACAACAACCGGGCCCACUCCCGGUGAUGACUUUGAGGAGUUCAUGUAUUCACUAUGUGUUAAUGCUUUGUUCCGGGGCUCUAUUAAAAGGAGGCCUUAAUAUCCCUUAGUUUCCAAUAUGGACCCCGCUGCCACGGGAGGGUAGGACAAAAGAUGUCAUGCAAGUUCUUUUAAUAAAGCACGUAUGACUAUUUACGGAAUACAUGCCUACAUUAUAUCGAUGAACUGGAGCUAGUGCCGUAUCGCCCUAGGUUAUAACUGUCACAUGAUGAAUAUCAUCCAACAAGUCACUGAUCCGAUGCCUACGAAUAUAUUUAUAUUGAUAUUGCUGCGUUACUACUGCUAUCAUCACUUCUACACUUGCUACAAAUUACUACUAUCACUAUUACUAUUACUGUUGCUGCUGUCACUAUUAUCAAAACUAUCAAACUACUGUGCUACUGAUCACUUUGCUGCAGAUAAUUAAUCUCCAGGUGUGGUUGAAUUGACAACUCAGCUACUAAUACCUUCAAAUAUUCUUUGGCUCCCCUUGUGUCGAAUCUAUAAAUUUAGGUUAAAUACUUACCCUCGAAAACUGUUGCGAUCCCCUAUACUUGUGGGUUAUCAAGACCAUUUUCUGGCAUCGUUGCCGGGGAGCAUAGCUAUAUCUGUUGAGUCGCUUGGGGUUAUUAUCAUAUUAUCACUAUGAAGAAUCUGAAGGAUCCUAAACAGAAGAUAUUUCCCUCAAGUACGAGGGGAGGUAAGAAACUGCCAUCCAGCUCCGCUUUAGAUUCACCUUCUCUUAUGGGUAAACUUGCAACACCACAUGCUAUGAAUUCUAGUAUGUCGCAAGUUAUUGAUGAUGCUACUUCUACUAUGAAUGAUGCUUAUGAUGAUUCUAGUACCUUGCUUGAUAAUGAUGAUGUGCCACUUGGUGAUUUUCCUGAUAAACAAAUUGCUAGAGUUAUACAACAUGAUGUUGUUGAAUCUGAUGAUGAGCCUCAAACUGAAACUCCUGAAACACCUUCUAGAACAAGCCUUCCUAGAUAUGAAUUGCCUAAGUUACCAGAAGGUUAUGUUAUUAGUGAAGAAGCAACUAGAGAUAUUCUUGCUUGCAAUGAUAGAGAUGAUCUAGAGAAAUUACUAUGCAAGUAUAAAGAAAAAUCUUUGAAUGCUAGAAUAAAAUGUGAUCCUAAGUUUGCUGCUUCACCUAUCUGUAUUGCUGAUAAGGAUUAUGAAUUCUCUGUUGACCCAGAGUUAAUUACUUUGGCUGAAUCUGAUCCUUUCCAUGGUUAUAAAAUGAAACUCUUGUGGCACAUCUUACUAAGUUGAAUGAUAUAGCCAAUCUUUUUACUCAUGAUGAGAAAACUCACUAUUACUUUAUUUUCAAAUUAUUUCCUUUCUAAUUGAAGGGUGAUGCUAAAGCUUGGUACAAUAUUCUUGCUCCUGGUUGUGUGCGUACACCCCAGGAUAUGAUUUAUUACUUAUCUAAAAAAUAUUUUCCUGCUCAUAUUGAACAAGCUGCCUUACAGGAAAUAUUUAACUUUGUGCAAAUCAAAGAAGAGAGUCUCCCACAAGCUUGGGGGAGGCUUCUCCGGUUACUUAAAGCUUUGCCUGAUCGUCCUCUUAAGAAAAAUGAAAUACUUGAUAUCUUCUAUAAUGGACUAACCGAUGCUUCGAGGGACUUCCUAGAUAGUUGUGCUGUGUUUUCAGGGAACGAACUAUUGUUCCAGCUGAGGAAUUAUUGAAUAACAUAUUGAAAAAUUAUGAUGAUUGGACUAUUCCUGAACCACCACCUAAACCCACUCCGAAGAAGAGGGGUAUAUUAUAUCUCAGUCCUAAAGAUAUGCAAGAGGAAAAGAAAUCAAUGAUGGAAAAAGGUAUUAAAGCUCUGCCUCCUUCGCUUUGGGCCUCUGGUUCGCAGGAGCCGCCUGGCGGUGCUCGGCCGCCUUCCCUUCACCUCCACGGUGCAGGACUACGCCGACCGUUUUCAGGCCCUGGCAUGCCAUGCGUCGGGUGUGACGGCGCAGCAGCGGGCCGACCUCUUUGUCGGUGGACUUCCGGAUCACAUCUGCAUGGACGUGGAGCUUCAGGGACCCCAGGAUCUCCAGUCGGCCAUGUACUACGCCAGCGCGUUCGAGCGUCGCACGGUGGCCAUCCAGCAGGAAUCACCGUCCCGGACCGCUGGGUCGCUACCCGGGUCGGAUUCCGCGCCGGGUCGGCCUGCGCAGGCUUCUGCGGCACCCCUCACCGCGACCGCGGCGCGCCCGUUCCGCCGGCUCACCUCAGCCGAGAUACUCGAGCGUCGCCGCCAAGGGUUGUGCUUCAACUGCGACGAGCCCUACACGCCCGACCACGCCUGCCCGCGACUCUUCUACCUGGAGGUUGCAGACUACAUUCCGGAGGACGCCGUCGCCGCCGACCUGGCCGCCCCAACUGUCGAGAAGGUGUUUGACGCUGGUUGAUCGCCUCGAGGAGUUCCGCAAGCGCUUCCCCACCUUACAGCUCGAGGACGAGCUGUUUGUGCAGGCGGGGAGAAGUGUUAUGGCCUGUUUAGCUAGGCCCACAGGGCAGUAGUUAGGGGCUUGGCCCACAAGUUAUCCUAGGUUAAUUCUUAUGCAAGUUAUCUUAGGUUAAUUCUUAUGCAAGUUAUCUUAGGUUAAUUCUUAUGCAAGUUAUCUAGGUUAUAAAUAUAGGCUGUAAGACUCUUUUUGGAAUCAAGCAAUAAGAAGAAUAUUAUCUCUAUUGCCCGGCUCCUAGAGAAGCCGGAACCCUAGCCGCCUCUAACCCUAGCCGCCGCCGCCAUCCUCCUCCUACGCGACGGCGCCCAGCCGCCGGCGCGCCUGCUCAUCGCCUCGCCCUACUCCAUCCUUCCCCUACAACCUACGGAGCAGGCCCGGUAGGAUCCCUGGUUCUACCACAGCCCCAUAUAAACAUGGAAUGGUGUAAUAAAUCAAGAUCCAUAAAGUAUUUGUUCAAGUAUAUCCACAAAGGAGAGGACAGAGCAACUGUAAUUUUGGGUGCAGAAAUAACCAUGACGAGAUACAAAUGUACCUUGAUGCACGAUACCUAUCUGCAGGUGAAGCAUCUUGGCGUAUCUUUGGAUUUGAACUUCAGCACCGGCAGCCUUCUGCACAGAGACUGCAAUUCCACCUUCAAUAUGAGCAAAUAGUCAAGAGACCUUAGAAUAUUUCUAUUUUACUCUAUGUAACCUUCUUCAAAUGGAACUUCAUACGGAUUUCAGAUGAAUCAGGUAUUUCUGCGGACACACAUAACUAUGUUUGCAAAUUUGAUAUAUCACUAAAACAAUCUGUGGUCUGUGCAUUGCAUAAUCAGUAUUAAAAAAAAGAACUAGAUGGAUCAUGAAUGUGUACCUUCAGUUUACUAAGUAUCCGCAGUUUGGAUCUCACGACUCAUGCCUUGAUCUGUCUCAUAGCUAUGACAUGACCAUAAUAUACAUCUGUCAAUACAAAAUAAAAGAUCCAUCAACAUCUCUUCCUUGGGCAUGAUCGAGCACAAAGUGGCAAUAUUUUCGUGUUUCUAUGUAAAUAUACUUGGAUGAUUUCAUUAAUGAUGAUUCAGGUCAUACAUCCGACCAAGCAAGGGCUAGAUUUGAUUAUUAUUUUCAUAAUAUGCCAAGAUCAAUUCUGUCAAUGGCGAUCUGUGUGGUGUCAUUAAGCAUGGAGCGGUUGGAUCUUGAUUCCAUGUUAUAUGCCUAAAUGGUGACGAAUGUGGUCUGCUCUACAGGUAUGACGGUGAACACAUAUUACAGGUUAGAUCCUACAAAUUCAAACAAUUUAGCUCAGGCAAAAAAACACAAAAUAAGCUAACACAGGUGUAUCGAUUCAGCUAAAACAGUCUCCUUGACGACUCCUCUACCACCCAUCUCUACACCACACAUACAUCACCUCACUGCACAUCUACACAGACCCAAAAGGGAAAUAAGGCAUCCCUCAAAGCAAGUUUCCAAUUCUUAAGAUAAUACAUACACAAAAUCAAAUGAUUUAACCACGCACCUGAUGUAUCCCAUAGUGGUUGCUUUGUAAGAUUUAUCGCUAAGAAAUUGAAGGAUAGGGAACAAAAUAUACGACCAGUGGCUGGAUCGAAGGCUUCAUUUUGGGGGAACGGCGAGUGGGGAGAGGAGGCCAGUCGGCGCCGGGCGUGGGAUUGGAACUAGCAGCGACUGGGCUACGCACCCCCGGCGGAUUCCUGGAUCAAUCUUUGCCAUGGCUGAAGAUAUCCAUUUUUGGGAGAUAAGGGAAGAAAUGGCAGGAGGAAGAAAGUAUAGCACGCAAUCCACUCAAGAUUAUUCGGCAACCUUUGCCUUUCUUUAUUUAC
rnacentral:lncRNA from 1 species